ACUGUGGAGAUAAAAGAGUAACCUUUUGCUUAUGGUGAAACCAUUCUCUCAUUAAAGGCCAGCUCCUGCCAUUUGACAGGGAAAAAGCAAUCGGACCUUUCUGGCAGCUCUCCCUCAGGUGAUUCCUUCUGAUAUUUGUCUGUGGAUAUGCCGAUGUGAGCGGCCUGGAGGCCGGCACCUUGGGGCCUGCCACACCAGUGAGACCUGCACGUGGCCUCACAGCGGGGCCAGGUGAGGGGAUUUUCUCCCUGGCCCAGGCUCUUCCAGUUUCUCACUUCACUGCCAUAGGAGUCUGCAUGCCGGAGAAGAUCUGUCAUCUGAGGCUUUUAUAGUACUGGAAGGGUUACCUACAAAGCUGUGAUAUGGAAGGGUGGGACCUCCCCCCCCUUUCCACCGACAUUUUAAAUAGUAUUAGGGAAGAAAGUGUAAGUUUCAACUGCAGAUCUGUUUUUCCAAAUUACAACUUUGACACUUUGACUGCAAAAUCUUGAGAGAGAUUUUUCUUCUUUUUUUUUUUUUCCUCUUACUGUUUUCUACUUAAUUGGAAACAUAACUUCAAAAAUUCCACUGUGAUCAACCAAUUAAUACAGAAACUUUGACUGUCAGUGUUUGCAGCUAAAGAAAUUGAUAGCUGAAACGUCUUUUCAAGACAGAGAAUGCUGUACCAGUUUGGAAGGGCUUCAAGACAGUGUUAUCAUGCUGCCUAAGCAUGAUUCGGAAAACCCUGUGCUUUCCUCCACUGUGCUGGCUGGUAGAUGUCUGCCACAGGUUGCAAAUAAGAGACAGAGGAGUCCAAAGGUGGUCACACUUUCAAAAAGUCUGAGACAUGCUGUAGCAAGAAAACAUCUGAUGCAGUCACACUGCUUCAGUUUAUCUGUCACAGAAUAAUCUUCUCAUUUCUUCGUGGAUGCAAAGUCCUUCAGGGAAUAGCACUAUCAUUUCACACAAUCCGAUAUGCCAGAUUUUUGCAUUUGGACUGGUGAGAUAAAUAAAGUAUGAAAAAAAAUCGUAAAAGUUCUCAGCAGCUGUAGUCAUGAAUGCUGGUACAUGUUACAUGUUCAAGCUACAGUUAACUUUAAUUGGCUCUCUGCUUAUUGUUUGGUUUAGAGUUGUCUCAGCAAGUGCACAAAUACCAGUGAUAUUAUCUGAACGUAUUUAUUAAGGUUUGGAAACUUUCUUAAUCCCGGGUGUGCCCUGCAGCAUUUGCCGUUGCCAAUAGCCAGAUUUUAAAACUCCACUGGCCUGAGCUUCAGCAUGGGCAGCAGUGUGACUGCAUGCUGCAAGACUUUAGGAAAACCCUUCCAGGUAGUAUGUGAAGUGUUAGAACCCUGGGCUGCUGUAGACCCUGAGAAACCAUCAUCAGACAGUGUUUUUCAGCUCCUGGCUGAAGCAGAGGGUAGUUUACUUCUACAUACAGACUGAUAUUUGGAGGAAAGAGGAGUAGGAACCUUUCCUCUGCAUGAAGCAGCCUCUGUAAACCCAAGAGAAUAAAGAAGUCUUUUAACUUCCUGCCCUACAAACUCAACCUGUUAUCUGAAAAUAAAGCUGUGUUCCUGCA